rnacentral:rRNA from 1 species
AACAAACGCUGGCGGCGUACCUAAUACAUGCAAGUCGAACGGGGAAAGCUUUCGGGUGAGUACUAGUGGCGCACGGGUGAGUAACGCGUGGAUAAUCUGCCUUAGAGUGGGGGAUAACUAGUCGAAAGAUUAGCUAAUGCCGCAUAAGACCACAAGAACUGCGGUUCAAGGGGUCAAAGGUUUUUCGCUCUAAGAUGAGUCCGCGUAAGAUUAGCUAGUUGGUAGGGUAACGGCCUACCAAGGCGACGAUCUUUAACUGGUCUGAGAGGAUGAUCAGUCACACUGGAACUGAGACACGGUCCAGACUCCUACGGGAGGCAGCAGUAGGGAAUAUUGCACAAUGGAGGAAACUCUGAUGCAGCGACGCCGCGUGAGUGAUGAAGGCCUUCGGGUCGUAAAGCUCUGUCGCAGGGGAAUAACACAAUGAAGGUACCCUGUAAGAAAGGAUCGGCUAACUUCGUGCCAGCCGCCGCAGUAAAAC